GAUGAACGCUGGCGGCGUGCCUAAUACAUGCAAGUCGAGCGAACAGAUAAGGAGCUUGCUCCUUUGACGUUAGCGGCGGACGGGUGAGUAACACGUGGGUAACCUACCUAUAAGACUGGGAUAACUUCGGGAAACCGGAGCUAAUACCGGAUAAUAUUUCGAACCGCAUGGUUCGAUAGUGAAAGAUGGUUUUGCUAUCACUUAUAGAUGGACCCGCGCCGUAUUAGCUAGUUGGUAAGGUAACGGCUUACCAAGGCGACGAUACGUAGCCGACCUGAGAGGGUGAUCGGCCACACUGGUACUGAGACACAGUCCAGACUCCUACGGGAGGCAGCAGUAGGGAAUCUUCCGCAAUGGGCGAAAGCCUGACGGAGCAACGCCGCGUGAGUGAUGAAGGUCUUCGGAUCGUAAAACUCUGUUAUUAGGGAAGAACAUACGUGUAAGUAACUGUGCACGUCUUGACGGUACCUAAUCAGAAAGCCACGGCUAACUACGUG
rnacentral:rRNA from 1 species